AUUGAACGCUGGCGGCAGGCCUAACACAUGCAAGUCGAACGAGUGGCGGACGGGUGAGUAAUGUCUGGGAAACUGCCCGAUGGAGGGGGAUAACUACUGGACACGGUAGCUAAUACCGCAUACCCUCGGAUGUGCCCAGAUGGGAUUAGCUAGUAGGUGGGGUAACGGCUCACCUAGGCGACGAUCCCUAGCUGGUCUGAGAGGAUGACCAGCCACACUGGAACUGAGACACGGUCCAGACUCCUACGGGAGGCAGCAGUGGGGAAUAUUGCACAAUGGGCGCAAGCCUGAUGCAGCCAUGCCGCGUGUAUGAAGAAGGCCUUCGGGUUGUAAAGUACUUUCAGCGAGGAGGCGUUACUCGCAGAAGAAGCACCGGCUAACUCCGUGCCAGCCGCCGCGGUAAUUC
rnacentral:rRNA from 1 species